ACUGAAUAUCAAUGCUGGAGAGCCAUGUGGUCCUGCAGGUGGAAACCUCAGUGGAGACUCCAGAUUCUGACAGCUGGGCUGCUGGCCCUUCUCAGGAAGGAGGCCUCCAGUAGAUGGGGCAUGCAGACACCACCAGGAAGGUGUGCUUCCUUAGCUGAGAUCCACAGAGUGGGAAAGGAUACAGUACAUUGGAUUCAGGAAGAAAAAAUAAAAAUUGCUGGUAAAAGUCAAAGGGACUAUGGAAGAGCUGGAAAUGGACCAGAAGUCAUGCUCUAUCAGAGUCAUAAUGGAAGAUGGUGCCUGCUCUAAACUUGCUCUUCACAGUCAUGAAUGGACACCUGCAUCCUGGUCUGUGGUCAAGCAAAGCCUGGGAAACCACAGAUGAAUCUCAGAGACACUGAAGAAAGUCAGUCACA